rnacentral:lncRNA from 1 species
UCAUAGACACAUCCUAAAUGUUCCUGAUCAUAUGAUUGCCAAUUGGGCAUUGACAGUCCGUCAAGAUCGGUACGUGCUAUGUCUUCUCUCAGGGAGAGUGACUAGUCUCGAGUCAUUGGUGUGUGUGACAUCAAGACAAGUACGUAGGUGCUCAGUAGAGAAUGAGUUCACUGAACGCGAUCAAUGAAGAGUUCUCAUACUCAUGUCACAUGAGAACUCAUGUUUGGGAUAAUGCAAAUUAGUCCUUUGACCUGAGGCAUCACAAUUGUCUUAUGGUUAAGUCCUUGAUCUUUGAUUAUGUCAAAGUCACCCCAUCGGGGUGUCCACGGCAUCGUUGGGGUUAAGCC